UAUUAGCUUCAGGCUGAGGCCUAAGAUCUUAACGGCCUCCUCGUCCCCCUGGCACGCCUCCCGGCUGCCGGGCACCCUGGGAAGGUCCCUCACUGACAUUAGGCGGCUGCUGAGUCCUCCUCGCUGCCUGCCACCUGCCGCAGACCCAGGGGUCAGUGUCGGUCACCCUUCACACGGGGAGGCUGAGACCAGCUGGGGGAAGUGGCUGCUUCAAGGGCCCAAUCGCAGGGGCCUGACACCUGGGCCAGCGUCCCUUCUUGCACAUGUCUGCUAAGGUUCCCACGGCUGACUCAGGCCACAGCAGUGGGAGUGUCUCCGGGAUGGCAGGGGCACGAUGCUGCCCGCUUCUGCAGCACCCAGCACGGCCUCUACCUCCCUGAAGCCCUCACUCACAGCUCCGCUGGCUCGCCUGUGCCUCGCAGACAAGAGAUAUUACUUCCCUCUUCAGAAGGGAAAACUGAGACUCCAGGAGACGAGGUAGCUUGGUCAAAGUCAAAUGGCAAAUUCGCGGCAGAGCUGGGAUCCUAACUGGGCCAGACAGAAGGCUCUCAUGGCAGGCCAGGCACUGGGAGAACAUCUAAGACUAUCUGAAGUUCGCCGCGUGACAAUGGAGGCAAAGUGCAGAGCUGUGCGGCCCUUGUCAUCAGCUGCACAGGGAUCCGUGCCAUCGUCCAGCAGCUGCUGCACUGACAUCGCCAAGACAGAGGGAGGGAGGGCGACAGAGAGGUAGUGUUAGUUACGCUGCAGCCCCCGGGGGUGAACACGGAUGCUCAGGGGACCCUGCAGGUAAGGCACCGAUAAGCCAUGGGAGAGCGAGCUCCUCCUGGAUGCCUCCCUGGCCUUACAGGGAAUGUCAUGACAAGGGACUUACUCUCCUGAGGGCACAACUGGGAAUCCCCGAUUCGGGCUGCUCAAACUACGUCUAGGGUUAGAACAUCACAGAAGGAUCUUGGCCCUCAGCGUCAGGAGUUCUCGAAUCACAGAAAUCCCCGGCACACAGGCUUUGGCCCCACAUCCAUUUGGAUACACACCCUUUCCAGUUGGACACAGCAGCCCAAGCUGCGGGGCAGCGCUCACUUUGCUCCUGGGAGGUGGCCUUUUAGAGUGAGCGGCUAGAGCACAGGUUUGGAGCCACAAAGACUAAGUCCCAGGCUAAGCUGGGUAACGAAGAAAGGAGUACGUUGCCAACGGCACGGGGCAGUGGAAAGAGCGGGGCUCAGAGCAGGAAGGCCUGAAUCUGGGUCCCAAUUCACCGGCAAAUGGGAAUAAUCUCCGCCCUGCCAAUCUCCAGAGCUGCUGUAAUAACAAUAAUGGAUAUGAAAUUUCUUCAUUGCAAAGUAUGGAGCCAUUAUAAAAUGUGAGGCAUUAUGUGACACAUGUGUGUGUCCAGCUGAAAUGGAGAAAUUGCUGCCAAACAUCAUUUUAGAGCAACUGACAUUUUUAGUCUCCGCCAGCGAACCUCUCAAGGACUCCAGACGAAGCCCGGAAUCUCCUCCUCCUCCUUCACUUCAAGCUCAGGGAGGCACUCCAUCAUCCGCGGGUCCUCAGUGCCCAGUUCACCUCGCCUGCUCUGACAUUAAAACGCCGCGCUGGUUUUGGAUAUCGUCCCCCUACGCCGAGCACCAGCCUGGCACCAGGUUUUUUGUUUCAUGCAUCUUACUUAAUACUUAGGAUCGAGACGGGAUUUGCGCAGCUCCAGGAUCGCUGUUGACUAACUGAAUGAAGGUGGUAGGAAAAGGAUUAGGAGAGUGGAAGAGAAGGGCUUCAAGCCAUCUCAGUACAUUCACCAAAAGACAACCCGUAUCAAAGAGAUAAGACAAAGCUAAAAGAGUCCAUUCUCUUUCGUGCUUUGUGCAGGAGGACAUCAAUUUUAUGGCCACGGUAAUUGCUAAACGACAGCAAAAACCCAAUCAACAUGCGGAGAAGGAAAAGGAAAUGCUGACCAUAGAGAGAAAAGCAAUAAAGAGGCUAAUCCUACAGAGUCACCGUCGGAGCCUCGCAAGAGCCUGGUAAACCUAAGAGCCAUUUAGAUUUGAAGAUGAGUGUGUCAGAGACUCUGGAAAAUUACAGCAUUUCUCUCAGUAUAAUGAAACCACCAACCAACCAUGUGAGUACCUGAUUCAAGAUGCACUAGGCUUUCUGUGGAAGGGGAGCGUAAUUCAAAUCUUCUCUGGCCACACACUAGCGAUCUUAAAAAGAGAACACAUCAUUUUUUCCUUGAAAAGCUAUCUGGGCUGCUGCUGAAAUAUUCCAAAAUAUUCAAGUUCAUGGAAAAGGGGACCAAAGCGAAGAGAGCUGAAAAGGCCUCCGGUUUCCAGGCCUGUUCACUAGGCUACGCCAGGGGUAAUGGAACCAUUUCAAGGCCCAUGGUUUAAAAAAAUUGUUUAAUGUUUUUAUUUCUUUUUGAGACAGAGAGAGACAGAGCAUGGGCGGGGGAGGGGCAGAGAGAGAGGGAGACACAGAAUCCGCAGCGGGCUCCAGGCUCCGAGCCGUCAGCACAGAGAGACAACAGCGUGAGGGUUCCGUCUACUGUCGCUGACCUUGAAGUCAGAGGGAGAAGACUCCAGGCCAAGGGAUGU